rnacentral:misc_RNA from 1 species
GAUGAAGAACGUAGCGGAAUGCGAUAAGUAAUGUGAAUUGCAGAAUUCAGUGAAUCAUCGAAUCUUUGAACGCACAUUGCGCCCGCCAGUAUUCUGGCGGGCAUGCCUGUUCGAGCGUCAUUUCAACCCUCAAGACCCCUUCGGGGGACUUGGUGUUGGGGACCGGCACAGGGGCCUGCCUGCUUGUCUUGCAGCGCCCUCGCCGCCCCCGAAAUGAAUUGGCGGCCUCGUCGCGGCCUCCCCUGCGUAGUAGCACAACCUCGCAACGGGAACGUGACGGCGGCCACUGCCGUAAAACAACCCCAAUUUUAUUAGAGUUGACCUCGAAUCAGGUAGGAAUACCCGCUGAACUUAAGCAUAUCAAUAAGCGGAGGA